UACAGAGGGGCAAGCGUUGUUCGGAAUUACUGGGCGUAAAGGGCGCGUAGGCGGCCUGCUAAGUCGAACGUGAAAUCCCUGGGCUCAACCCAGGAACUGCGUCCGAUACUGGUUGGCUUGAAUCCGGGAGAGGGACGUGGAAUUCCAGGUGUAGGCGGUGAAAUGACGUAGAUAUCUGGAGGAAUGACCGGUGGCGAAGGCGGCAUCCUGGACCAUUACUGACGCUGAGG
rnacentral:rRNA from 1 species